AAUCGGCGUAGCGCUGCCUCCCUCCCUCCAGCCCCGUCCCACCCCACCGCCAAAAGAAUAGGCACAACGCCUCACAUUCCUCUAGUACCGUCACUGCAUGCUCCCCUCACACUUCUCUCUCUAAAAAUCGAAAUAAGAAAACGCAUCCACUCCACCAAAACGAACCAAAUCUUUCUCAUUCAAUGGCAGUUGUAGCAAGGCAUCUCAAUCUCUUCCCACCUCAAUUCAUCCUUUUCUUCCAAGUCAGAGAAUUGAUGAAUGUAAUUACUCAGGGAAACGAUGCCUACAACACGCGGCAGAUGCGGUUCCUCGGGGCCUCCCUCCCUCCAGAGCCACACCACCCCAUCGCCAAAAGAAUCGGCACAGCGCCGUAUAGUUGAAGUUGUGUUUUCUUCAAUUUAAUUUGAGGAGUAAAUUUGUGAGAAAAUUUUCAAACCAUAUCUACAAAUGUAAAAUAAAAUAUUAGCCGAGUUAGAUGUGUUUCAUCUGUCAAAA